rnacentral:lncRNA from 1 species
GUGGAAUCAAAGCUGUGUCUCCAUCUGGUGGUUGUACCUAAAAGACAUGAAAUGAUCUGCAAGUAACCCUUUAACAAUAUGUUGAGCUCAAAGGGUUUAUUUCUAAAAUGUGCACACUAAAUAGAAAAAAAAAUAUUUGAGAGUUUCAGGAUUUUGCUGAAAAUUACAUUUAUAUAUAUUUUUUAUAUUCUUGUCGUAAACCAGUAUGUUUAAUUUUUCCUUGAAUAACCGGUGUGUUUCUGUGAGUCAGGAUGGCGACCAAGGGCGGCGUCAGGCCGGAUGAAGUUCUGAUGAAGAUGCAGGAGCUUGACGACCGGCUGAAAGAGCAGAGUGACAAACUGGAGCAUGUUCGCCUUGCUGUAGUUGAACUGAAGGAUGACUUGUCUGUGAGCAACGGUGAUCUUACCCAGUCUAUCGCUGAACACCUGGAGUGGUUGAAUCACAUGUCAGAGCGAGUGGAGACUCUUGAUGUGAACACAUCUGUUUUUAUCCAGGUGAGAAUCAAAAAGUUUCUGAUGGGAUCAUGAAAAUGUGCAUGCAAAAGUUGUAUUUAAGUAUGUUAUGCCAUAAUUAUAAAAAUGGGUCUUAAACCGCCUGAGCUCCACAGGCCCUCCAGACAGUACGACGGGUC